UACGGAGGGUGCGAGCGUUGUCCGGAAUCAUUGGGCGUAAAGGGCGCGUAGGUGGCCCGGUCAGUCCGUGGUGAAAGCGCGGGGCUCAACCCUGCGUCGGCCAUGGAUACUGCCGCGGCUCGAGCACUGUAGAGGCAGGCGGAAUUCCGGGUGUAGCGGUGGAAUGCGUAGAGAUCCGGAAGAACACCGGUGGCGAAGGCGGCCUGCUGGGCAGUAUGGCUGAUACUGAGGCGCGACAGCGUGGGGAGCAAACAGG
rnacentral:rRNA from 1 species